UACGGAGGAUGCAAGCGUUAUCCGGAAUGAUUGGGCGUAAAGCGUCCGCAGGUGGCUGUGUAAGUCUGCUGUUAAAUAGUGAGGCUCAACCUCAUAAAGGCAGUGGAAACUACACGGCUAGAGUGCGUUCGGGGCAGAGGGAAUUCCUGGUGUAGCGGUGAAAUGCGUAGAGAUCAGGAAGAACACCGGUGGCGAAAGCGCUCUGCUAGGCCGCAACUGACACUGAGGGACGAAAGCUAGGGGAGCGAACAGG
rnacentral:rRNA from 1 species